UUAAGCGACUAAGCGUACACGGUGGAUGCCCUGGCAGUCAGAGGCGAUGAAGGACGUGCUAAUCUGCGAUAAGCGUCGGUAAGGUGAUAUGAACCGUUAUAACCGGCGAUUUCCGAAUGGGGAAACCCAGUGUGAUUCGUCACACUAUCAUUAACUGAAUCCAUAGGUUAAUGAGGCGAACCGGGGGAACUGAAACAUCUAAGUACCCCGAGGAAAAGAAAUCAACCGAGAUUCCCCCAGUAGCGGCGAGCGAACGGGGAGCAGCCCAGAGCCUGAAUCAGUGUGUGUGUUAGUGGAAGCGUCUGGAAAGGCGUGCGAUACAGGGUGACAGCCCCGUACACAAAAAUGCACAUGCUGUGAGCUCGAUGAGUAGGGCGGGACACGUGGUAUCCUGUCUGAAUAUGGGGGGACCAUCCUCCAAGGCUAAAUACUCCUGACUGACCGAUAGUGAACCAGUACCGUGAGGGAAAGGCGAAAAGAACCCCGGCGAGGGGAGUGAAAAAGAACCUGAAACCGUGUACGUACAAGCAGUGGGAGCACAGAGCAAUCUGUGUGACUGCGUACCUUUUGUAUAAUGGGUCAGCGACUUAUAUUCUGUAGCAAGGUUAACCGAAUAGGGGAGCCGAAGGGAAACCGAGUCUUAACUGGGCGUUAAGUUGCAGGGUAUAGACCCGAAACCCGGUGAUCUAGCCAUGGGCAGGUUGAAGGUUGGGUAACACUAACUGGAGGACCGAACCGACUAAUGUUGAAAAAUUAGCGGAUGACUUGUGGCUGGGGGUGAAAGGCCAAUCAAACCGGGAGAUAGCUGGUUCUCCCCGAAAGCUAUUUAGGUAGCGCCUCGUGAAUUCAUCUCCGGGGGUAGAGCACUGUUUCGGCAAGGGGGUCAUCCCGACUUACCAACCCGAUGCAAACUGCGAAUACCGGAGAAUGUUAUCACGGGAGACACACGGCGGGUGCUAACGUCCGUCGUGAAGAGGGAAACAACCCAGACCGCCAGCUAAGGUCCCAAAGUCAUGGUUAAGUGGGAAACGAUGUGGGAAGGCCCAGACAGCCAGGAUGUUGGCUUAGAAGCAGCCAUCAUUUAAAGAAAGCGUAAUAGCUCACUGGUCGAGUCGGCCUGCGCGGAAGAUGUAACGGGGCUAAACCAUGCACCGAAGCUGCGGCAGCGACGCUUAUGCGUUGUUGGGUAGGGGAGCGUUCUGUAAGCCUGCGAAGGUGUGCUGUGAGGCAUGCUGGAGGUAUCAGAAGUGCGAAUGCUGACAUAAGUAACGAUAAAGCGGGUGAAAAGCCCGCUCGCCGGAAGACCAAGGGUUCCUGUCCAACGUUAAUCGGGGCAGGGUGAGUCGACCCCUAAGGCGAGGCCGAAAGGCGUAGUCGAUGGGAAACAGGUUAAUAUUCCUGUACUUGGUGUUACUGCGAAGGGGGGACGGAGAAGGCUAUGUUGGCCGGGCGACGGUUGUCCCGGUUUAAGCGUGUAGGCUGGUUUUCCAGGCAAAUCCGGAAAAUCAAGGCUGAGGCGUGAUGACGAGGCACUACGGUGCUGAAGCAACAAAUGCCCUGCUUCCAGGAAAAGCCUCUAAGCAUCAGGUAACAUCAAAUCGUACCCCAAACCGACACAGGUGGUCAGGUAGAGAAUACCAAGGCGCUUGAGAGAACUCGGGUGAAGGAACUAGGCAAAAUGGUGCCGUAACUUCGGGAGAAGGCACGCUGAUAUGUAGGUGAAGUCCCUCGCGGAUGGAGCUGAAAUCAGUCGAAGAUACCAGCUGGCUGCAACUGUUUAUUAAAAACACAGCACUGUGCAAACACGAAAGUGGACGUAUACGGUGUGACGCCUGCCCGGUGCCGGAAGGUUAAUUGAUGGGGUCAGCGCAAGCGAAGCUCUUGAUCGAAGCCCCGGUAAACGGCGGCCGUAACUAUAACGGUCCUAAGGUAGCGAAAUUCCUUGUCGGGUAAGUUCCGACCUGCACGAAUGGCGUAAUGAUGGCCAGGCUGUCUCCACCCGAGACUCAGUGAAAUUGAACUCGCUGUGAAGAUGCAGUGUACCCGCGGCAAGACGGAAAGACCCCGUGAACCUUUACUAUAGCUUGACACUGAACAUUGAGCCUUGAUGUGUAGGAUAGGUGGGAGGCUUUGAAGUGUGGACGCCAGUCUGCAUGGAGCCGACCUUGAAAUACCACCCUUUAAUGUUUGAUGUUCUAACGUUGACCCGUGAUCCGGGUUGCGGACAGUGUCUGGUGGGUAGUUUGACUGGGGCGGUCUCCUCCUAAAGAGUAACGGAGGAGCACGAAGGUUGGCUAAUCCUGGUCGGACAUCAGGAGGUUAGUGCAAUGGCAUAAGCCAGCUUGACUGCGAGCGUGACGGCGCGAGCAGGUGCGAAAGCAGGUCAUAGUGAUCCGGUGGUUCUGAAUGGAAGGGCCAUCGCUCAACGGAUAAAAGGUACUCCGGGGAUAACAGGCUGAUACCGCCCAAGAGUUCAUAUCGACGGCGGUGUUUGGCACCUCGAUGUCGGCUCAUCACAUCCUGGGGCUGAAGUAGGUCCCAAGGGU
rnacentral:rRNA from 1 species